rnacentral:rRNA from 1 species
UACGGGGGGGGCAAGCGUUGUUCGGAAUUACUGGGCGUAAAGGGCUCGUAGGCGGCCAACUAAGUCAGACGUGAAAUCCCUCGGCUUAACCGGGGAACUGCGUCUGAUACUGGAUGGCUUGAAUCCGGGAGAGGGAUGCGGAAUUCCAGGUGUAGCGGUGAAAUGCGUAGAUAUCUGGAGGAACACCGGUGGCGAAGGCGGUUUUCUAGUUUAUACCUGACGCUGAGGCGCGAAAGCAAGGGGAGCAAACAGG